rnacentral:rRNA from 1 species
UAACAUGUAUGGGGCGAGCGUUGUUCGGAAUUAUUGGGCGUAAAGGGCGUGUAGGUGGUUUUAUAAGCUUGGUGUUAAAGCCUCUGGCUCAACCAGGGAGUGGCGCUGAGAACUGUAGGACUAGAGUUCAGGAGAGGAAGCUGGAAUUCCAGGUGUAGGGGUGAAAUCUGUAGAUAUCUGGAAGAACACCGGUGGCGAAGGCGAGCUUCUAGCCAUGGACUGACGCUGAGGCGCGAAAGCGUGGGGAGCGAACAGGAUUAGAUACCCUGGUAGUCCACGCUGUAAACGAUGUGCACUAGGCGUUGGGUGUGAUUAGCAUUCAGUGCCGUAGCGAACGCGUUAAGUGCACCGCCUGGGGAGUAUGCCCGCAAGGGUG